rnacentral:rRNA from 1 species
UACGGAAGGGGCAAGCGUUGUUCGGAAUCAUUGGGCGUAAAGGGCGCGUAGGUGGCCCGGUCAGUCUUUGGUGAAAGCGCGGGGCUCAACCCUGCGUCGGCCAGGGAUACUGCCGGGCUAGAGGAUGGUAGAGGCGAGUGGAAUUCCCGGUGUAGCGGUGAAAUGCGCAGAUAUCGGGAGGAACACCAGUAGCGAAGGCGGCUCGCUGGGCCAUUCCUGACGCUGAGACGCGAAAGCUAGGGGAGCGAACAGG